rnacentral:snoRNA from 1 species
AGCCACUGAUGCAACUGAUUCUGCCACAUGAGUUACUGUGAUAUUACCCUUUCCGUUCCUUUUCUGAGGUU